rnacentral:misc_RNA from 1 species
GAUGUUCAGCGGCAGCGAGCCGCUGGUCACGGCCGAGCAGGACAUGGCGCUGGCGAUUGCCAAGGAUCUCGGCGGUGAAAUCGGGCCUGAUGCGCCUUUCCAUCACUGGAAGGAAAACCGCUACGUCGCUUACUCGCAGAAGUGGCACGAUGCGGGUUAUUUCAACGACACCAUCGAGGUGACAGGCAACUGGAUUCCCGCGUUGUACGAAGCCAUCGGCAAUGCCGUACGCAAGAUUUAUCCGGGCAUUCACUUCGGCGCG